rnacentral:lncRNA from 10 species
UGCUAAGCUAACAUUCAGCAGUGUCUACAAGAUGACACACAACAUGUUGAAAGAAUGGAGCGGUGAUUCCCUUGGAAGGAUGUGAAAAGCUUUCCAAUCUCGAGGUGAUAUCAGAGCUCUUUCCCAUUGAAACACUUGGAUGCUCUUUCUCCAGCUAUCAUGCUCUCUUUUUUCCACUCAAGAAAAGAAGAGAAUGCAGGUUCCCACAGAUACUGCAAGCCCCCUCAAGCUUAGGCAGUGGCCCUAACUUAGAUCUCUCUUCCUUCUAGAUCAACACAGCUGGUAAGUUAGGUCUCAGCUCAUGUAACACUUUCACUUCAACAUCCCUAGGGCACAGUUUCUGGGUUCUCAGCUAAUAUUUGUUAAAUGAAUGAAAAACUGUCUGUGUAUCUCUUUUAUCAUCAAGUGAUUCAGACCCCAAAGUUUUAUACCCUCAGAAAAAAAGUCAAGCGUUGCCAAAAUGGAUUUAUAUUUGCACUGUAUUUUUCAUUCCAAUGGCAGCUCAAAGUACCAUUUGGUGCUGUAAGCAUGAAUGAAAAUUGUGCAGGGCUUCUCACGGGCAGAAUAAUAAGUCACAUCAGCUCUCCAUCCAGACUGUAUCCAUCUGGGUCCUUCAUCCUCAUCUCCCAAUAGCAUCUACUCUUCUUACUCUGAAAAAGAUGACAGCUAUAUUUGUGGUUCAGUUGAGUGAAUUAGAGAUAAUUUCCCCUUUCUCUACACCAGCUGUUUUCUUAAGAUCAAGAGGGUGGUAAAUUCUCAUUGUGUUCUCUUCUCAGCACAAGAGCACCCAACCUCAGGAUUAGUCUCUUCUGUUUAAGAAGAGCAAUCAUUUGCCACUUGACUUUUCACUUCCUUCUGUCAGAGGGGGUCAGUAUUUUUUAAGCAACUGCGUGUCAAUUGCUUCCCUGUCAGCAUUUCAUCAUUACUAGGCUGACCUCUCUUUAAAGAGCCUUUCUACUUCAAAAACAUAGAGAUGUAUUUGAGAAUGGGGUGAAGAAAGGCCAUUGGAGGGAUAUAUAAUAAGGCAUCAUUAAUGAAUGCCAGUUAAAAAAUCUAACACACAUUUUUAUCUUUGAGUUCUUAGGGAAACUUUGAAAAGUUACAUUUGAAUAAACAGCCCUUGGAAAGGAGCACAAUUUAAUUAAUUCCUUAGACGUUUAUUGUGAGCCUACAAAGGGUAAGACCCUGUCUGUCUUGAUCCUGUCUUGCUCAGCAAUGGAGGGUUCAUAACGGCACCUGCCUGGUUGGAGAGAGGUUUAAGCAGAUGACAAGGAGGAAGUGCCUGGUGCAGGAUAAGGCCUCAGGAAUGGCCCAGGUUGUCCCUGCUUGGAGCUUCAGGUAGAUUACAAUCUAGCAAAGAGGCAAAACAAAGCAAAACAACAACAAAGAUUUUGUCCUAAGGCAAACACAUUUUGCCUUAAGACAAAAUAUUGGAAAAUGCCAUAUGUCUUUUGUCUAAGGUCAAACCAUGCCUUAUGGGAGGGCAAAGGUAAGGGAGGUUGUACUAAUCUGCUCUCACACUGCUAAUAAGACAUACCCGAGACUGGGUAAUUUAUAAAGGGAAGAGGCUUAAUGGACUCACAGUUCCAUGUGGCUGGGGAGGCCUUGCAAACAUGGCAGAAGAUGAACGAAGAGCAAAGGUACUUCUUACAUGGUGGUGGGCAAGAGCACAUGUGCAGGGGAACUCCCCUUUAUAAAACCAUCAGGUCUCAUCAGACUUAUUCACUGUCAUGAGAACAGCACAGGAAUGACCCGUCCCCAUGAUUCAAUUAUGUCCCACUGGGUCCCUCCCACAACAUGUGGGAAUUAUGGGAGCUACAAUUCAAGAUGAGAUUUGGGUGGGGACACAGACAAACCAUAUCACAGGUUAUCUGUGCAUCAGAGAUUCUCCUCAUGGCCAAGGUUAUAUUUGCUCUAGGUGUUGAAGAAUAGGUAGAAUUUCCAUAUGCGUGGAUGUGAGUAGGAUAUUCUAGACUAUAAACAAAAAGUAGGGGUUUCAACCAGUGCCAACUGAUACUUUAUACUGCCUGGGCAUGCCAGGAAAGGUGGAAGUCAAUGCAUUCCAAGGACUGAGGGGUUCCUGGGUGGUCUUUUAUCUUAAGAGGUGAAGGAAUGAGACAUGGCGAGCCCUAACCAUCCAGUUGGAGUCAUGAUGAGAUCACAACUGCAUAACUAGAAAGAUUGGUCUGCAGGACCUAUAAGAGAUAUUGAGGGGAGAGACUUAGGGUUGGGAAGGUGUAAGGAGGACAUUGAGAAAGUUCAGGUCAGGGGUCAUUAUGUCUUUGACUAGGGCUGUAACCAAGGAACUUGAACGUAUGAAAUAGUGGCUGUAGAACUUGCAUGUAGGAGGUACUUGGGGCUGGCAAUUGGCUUGGAGGGAUGCCUAGAAGACUUGGCUUGAAAUGGGUGUGCAGAGCCAGAUCAGGGCUCUAACUCAGAUUCAACAUCUUGGUUAUUUACAGAAGCUGUGUAUGUGUAUGGCAGGGAGUGCUCAUGGAGAGAUAAUGAGAGGUAGAGUAAAUUACCCCCAAGAUACACUUUUAGCAUUUUCACUAGAAAAGAGGGUGGAGAUGAGUUUGAAAUCAAAAUCGUUAUCACCUUCAAUGUCUUAAUUAGGUUUCAGACUUCUCUUUCUUCCCUUGUAAAAUGAGAAGAAUCUAAUGGAUUUUAUGCAAUGUUACUUUAAACAUUAUGAAUCUAUGGAUUUCAUGCUUGUUUCCCUUGAGAGUCUGUCAAUUCUGUGGUUUGAUUUGUAAGAGUAGAUCUUGCCAAUUUUUGUCAUUUUCAUGGUUGCUACCAGAGGCUUCAGGAAGCCAGAGGAUGGUUGUAGCUGUAGUUUUGAGGUGGUUUUGCUUUUCUUUUUUUAAUUUUAAUUUUAAUUUUAUUUAUUUAUUUAUUAUUAUUAUUAUUUUUGACAUGAAGUCUUGCC